UACGAAGGGGGCAAGCGUUGUUCGGAAUUACUGGGCGUAAAGGGCCAGUAGGCGGCCAACUAAGUCCGACGUGAAAUCCCCAGGCUUAACCUGGGAACUGCGUCGGAUACUGGAUGGCUUGAAUUCGGGAGAGGGAUGCAGAAUUCCAGGUGUAGCGGUGAAAUGCGUAGAGAUCAUGAGGAAGACCAGUGGCGAAGGCGGGUCUCUGGACAGUUCCUGACACUGAGGCACGAAGGCCAGGGGAGCAAACGGG
rnacentral:rRNA from 1 species